GCAGGUGCAUGCCUCUAGCAUGAAGUCAGACAAGUGAACCCGCUUGAA
rnacentral:rRNA from 2 species